rnacentral:tRNA from 1 species
GUGGGUGUAGCUCAGGGGUAGAGCACAUGCUUUGCAUGCACGAGACCCUGGGUUCAAUCCCCAGUACCUCCA